rnacentral:rRNA from 1 species
AGAGUUUGAUCGUGGCUCAGAGCGAACGCUGGCGGCAGGCUUAACACAUGCAAGUCGAACGGGCUUCUUCGGAAGUCAGUGGCAGACGGGUGAGUAACACGUGGGAACGUGCCCUUCGGUUCGGAAUAACUCAGGGAAACUUGAGCUAAUACCGGAUACGCCCUUUUGGGGAAAGGUUGACUGCCGAAGGAUCGGCCCGCGUCUGAUUAGCUUGUUGGUGGGGUAACGGCCUACCAAGGCGACGAUCAGUAGCUGGUCUGAGAGGAUGAUCAGCCACACUGGGACUGAGACACGGCCCAGACUCCUACGGGAGGCAGCAGUGGGGAAUAUUGGACAAUGGGCGCAAGCCUGAUCCAGCCAUGCCGCGUGAGUGAUGAAGGCCUUAGGGUUGUAAAGCUCUUUUGUCCGGGACGAUAAUGACGGUACCGGAAGAUU